CUCUUUUUUCAGAACUCCUAGUUUUUAAGGAAAAAUAAGACUUACGCAAGGGGGAAAGGUAAUAUAGUGUAGACAGCAUUAUCUUACUGGGAAGUUUAGACCUGAGUUCCUUUGGCUCUGAUUUUAACUAUCUUUGUGGUCUUGGCUAAGUUGGUUUACACUUACUUGUAAAAUGAAAGGGGUAUUACCCAAUAUUUCUUUAAGUCCCUUCCAGCUAUGAAACACCUGAGUUAGGUCUAUUUGUUUGUUUAUAUGGAAAGAGAGAGAUAAAAUAAUUGCUGGAUGCAGUGGCUCACCCCUGUAAUCCCAGCACUUUGGGAGGCUGAGGCGAGGGGAUUGCUUGAGCCCAGGAGUUUGAGACCAGCCUGGGCAACAUAGUGGGAUGUCGUCUCUACAAAAAGUUUAAAAAUUAGCUGGGCAU
rnacentral:lncRNA from 10 species